CUGAGGCACAGAUCGUUGCAAAAGCAAGAGGUUUAUUUUCCAGCACAUUGGGGUCGCCCCUCAAUCAGUCUAUCCAGAUUGGUACCUCGUCGUCAGAGAGACUUCCUCGGGCAGCUGAUGGGAACAGAUACAGCCAGACAUUAGGUGGAGCAUGGGGACCCCUGAGGAAGAGGGGAGGAAGAAUUGCAGGAGGACUUGAGAACACAGUCCACAGAAGGAACUAAGCAGGGCUCACAGAGGCUGAAACACAAUCACAGGGGUCUGCUCCAGCAGUCAUUGUACGCUGGCACAGAUAUGAGAGCACCGCUGUUUUAAGGGCAUUCUUCCUCUUCUACUGAUUGCCGUGUCCCACAAGCUGGAGAGGUGGCUCAGGGGUUAAGAGCAACGACUGUUCUUCCAGAGGACACAGGUUUGAUCCCAAUACUCAUGGAGGCUUAUGCCCUUCUGCAACACCAGUUCCAGAGGAUCUGACAGCCUUCUCUGUCAGGUAGUACACAGAUCUGCAUGCAGCCAAAACACUGGACACAUGAAAUACAUAGGGAUAAAAAAUAUUAGAACAAGGAAUGCAAACAUAUAAGGAGGCAAUAUGAAUUAUAAAUUAUGUUCAUACACUUUGAUGUACUUGGAUGACUCAAGGCAGUCACAGCUAUCACUAAAUGUAAAGAAAUUUCAGUAGUGACAUAGAGAAAGAUUGUUCUGUUUAAUUUAUAUCUAACUUAAAGUAGAAUGAAAUCAUCCGCGAUAGAUUGUUGGUUUAUUUAUAUUUGAAAUAAAAAGGGGCGUUUCAGCGAACAGCGCGAAUGCUUGGAGGUGGCUUAGGGUAAAAUAGAUAAGGAAGAAAAGCUGUACACAGGUGAUCAGGUUCCUUCCCAGCGGAUAUGGAUCAGUGUGUGAAGGGUCCAGAAAGUCACUGGGCAAACACAGAGAUGGGUCACUGCCUACAGAAUGCCAGGACCUCUCUGGUCUACGAUGAUCCUCCUGGGAAAGCACUUGCCUCCAUGUCCCUGAGCUCCUCGCCACUCACAGCUGUUGUCUUGGGGAUCUUUGUGAAGCAAAGAGACACUCCCAUUGUCAAAGCCAAUAACGGGAGGGUCACAUCCUACUCAUGGGGAUGUAAAGAUGUCUCACCUUCUGUUUCCUCUGUCCCUUGCUCCUUCGUUGGUUAUCCUAACACAGCGCUCUGUAUCCUGCAGCAGAAUGCAUUUGGACUUCUGUUCACUGUGGCUCUUUCUACAGCGCUGGCCAAAAUGAUCACUGUAGUCAUGGCCUUUAAGGUCAUUGGGAAAAGAGCAAGGUGGCUGCUGAUGUCACGGCUUCCUGCUUUCAUCAUUCACCUCUGUACCAUGAUUCACACUGCUGUGUGGACUAUGUCUGGGACCCUCUCUUCCCUUCAUUAACAUGGAUGUCCAGUCUGAACACAGGCACACCAUUGUUGUAUGGAACAAGUGCUUGGGUAGUGCCUUUCAUUGUGUCCUAGGAUACCCGGGAGCCCUGGCCAAGGGAGCUACACUGUGGCUUUUAUGUUCAGGAACCUGCCUGACACAUUCAGUGAAGCCAAGUUCCUGGCCUUCAGCAUGCUGGUGUUCUGCAGUGUCCGGGUCUCCUUCCUUCCUGUCUAACACAGCACCAAGGAGAAGGUCAUGGUGGGUGUGGAAGUUUUCUCUCUCUUGGCUUCCGGUGCAGGCAUUCUAAGCCUAAUCUUUGCCCCCCCCCCCCCAAGUGCUACGUUAUUUUGUUCUGGCCAGACCGGAACACACUUCAUCACAUCGGAGGUGAAACGCCUUCUAGAAGGAAAAAACCGUCAUGAAUCAUAGCUCACACAGAUCUUAAAUUAACAAUAAGACAUAAAGAUGGUUCUGCAUCGUUUGGACAGUCACACGUUAGAUUCCGUUGUGUCAUUUGACGUCACAGAGCACUGUUUCUUCAUCCAGUUAUAUUAGGUUCUUAGUUUUACAACCAUCAGAUUUUCAUGUUGGAACAUACAUGUUGCAUUAUGUGUCUAACUUUUGUAUGCAGUGCUAUUGUUCUGAGAUCGAUUUAACUUGCUUUAUACAAUCUAAACUUGUAUACAUUUCUUGCAUUUGCACUAUCUGCAUAUUUCCCUGAUGUUGAAGCUGAAUUCCAGUAAAGGUUUCCUUCCUUUAUCAAUCAUUGGUGUCAAAAGAUCCCAGAUACUGUCACAUGCGCCAAUACGUCGGUGUGGUUCUGAAGACAAUUCACUCAACGUUCACACUUUCAUUUGUGUUGUGGUUUUUGUCCUGAAGAAACUGAAAUUCUUUAGAUUCAACAACUUUUUCAUCAAAGCUUUACCAUACCAAGUUCUUGAAUGAGAACCAUAGUAAAUCAUUAACAUAGGACUUUAUUUUAUAAACCAAAGUCAACGAGAACAACCGGUUUAUAAUUAAUUACACGCAGCCAAUGCUUUCGCUAUGAUGACAUAGGUCAAAUGUUCAGAUGUAAACAGAUCAGCCGAUUCCACUCUUUCUUCUGCUUGACUCUUAACAUCUAAACAGACUUUAGAUGUUAGACUAGAAGCUUCUUCACAAUGCAUUACUUUUUGUUAAA
rnacentral:sRNA from 1 species